UACAGAGGUCUCAAGCGUUGUUCGGAUUCAUUGGGCGUAAAGGGUGCGUAGGCGGCGCGGAAAGUGGGGUGUGAAAGCCCUCGGCUCAACCGAGGAAUUGCGCUCCAAACUACCGUGCUCGAGGGAGAUAGAGGUUAGCGGAACUUCGGGUGGAGCGGUGAAAUGCGUUGAUAUCCGAAGGAACACCGGUGGCGAAAGCGGCUAACUGGGUCUUCUCUGACGCUGAUGCACGAAAGCCAGGGUAGCAAACGGG
rnacentral:rRNA from 1 species